UACGGGGGGGGGCAAGCGUUGUUCGGAAUUACUGGGCGUAAAGGGCUCGUAGGUGGCCAAUUAAGUCAGACGUGAAAUCCCCAGGCUUAACCUGGGGACUGCGUCUGAUACUGGUUGGCUUGAAUUCGGGAGAGGGAUGCAGAAUUCCAGGUGUAGCGGUGAAAUGCGUAGAUAUCUGGAGGAAUACCGGUGGCGAAGGCGGCAUCCUGGACCGAGAUUGACACUGAGGAGCGAAAGCCAGGGGAGCAAACGGG
rnacentral:rRNA from 1 species